rnacentral:rRNA from 1 species
AGUGAACGCUGGCGGUAGGCCUAACACAUGCAAGUCGAACGGCAGCACAGUAAGAGCUUGCUCUUACGGGUGGCGAGUGGCGGACGGGUGAGGAAUACAUCGGAAUCUACUUUUUCGUGGGGGAUAACGUGGGGAAACUUACGCUAAUACCGCAUACGACCUACGGGUGAAAGCAGGGGAUCUUCGGACCUUGCGCGAUUGAAUGAGCCGAUGUCGGAUUAGCUAGUUGGCGGGGUAAAGGCCCACCAAGGCGACGAUCCGUAGCUGGUCUGAGAGGAUGAUCAGCCACACUGGAGCUGAGACACGGUCCAGGCUCCUACGAGAGGCAGCAGUGGGGAAUAUUGGACAGUGGGCGCAAGUCUGAUCCAGCCAUACCGCGUGGGUGAAGAAGGCCUUCGGGUUGUAAAGCCCUUUUGUUGGGAAAGAAAAGCAGCAGGUUAAGACCCCGCUGUUCUGACGGUACCCAAAGAAUAAGCACCGGCUAACUUCGUG